AGCGAACGCUGGCGGCAGGCUUAACACAUGCAAGUCGAACGCCCGGGCAACCGGGAGUGGCAGACGGGUGAGUAACGCGUGGGAACGUACCCUUUGGUUCGGAAUAACUCAGGGAAACUUGAGCUAAUACCGGAUACGCCCCGAGAGGGGGAAAGAUUUAUUGCCGAAGGAUCGGCCCGCGUCCGAUUAGCUAGUUGGUGGGGUAAUGGCGCACCAAGGCGACGAUCGGUAGCUGGUCUGAGAGGAUGAUCAGCCACACUGGGACUGAGACACGGCCCAGACUCCUACGGGAGGCAGCAGUGGGGAAUAUUGGACAAUGGGGGCAACCCUGAUCCAGCCAUGCCGCGUGGGUGAUGAAGGCCUUAGGGUUGUAAAGCUCUUUCGGCGGGGACGAUAAUGACGGUACCCGCAGAAGAAGCCCCGGCUAACUUCGUGCCAGCAGCCGCCGUAACAC
rnacentral:rRNA from 1 species